AUUGAACGCUGGCGGCAGGCCUAACACAUGCAAGUCGAGCGGAGCGGCGGGCGGGCGAGUAAUGCAUAGGAAUCUGCCUGCUAGUGGGGGAUAACGUCCGGCAACGAGCGCUAAGACAGCAUACUAUCAAACGAGCCUAGGUAGGAUUAGCUAGUGGGUGGGGUAAAGGCCUACCAAGGCGACGAACCGUAACUGGUCUGAGAGGAUGAUCAGUCACACUGGAACUGAGACACGGUCCAGACUCCUACGGGAGGCAGCAGUGGGGAAUAUUGGACAAUGGGCGAAAGCCUGAUCCAGCCAUGCCGCGUGUAUGAAGAAGGCCUUCGGGUUGUAAAGUACUUUCAGUCGGGAGGCGUUACUGACAGAAGAAGCACCGGCUAACUCCGUGCCAGCAGCCGCGGUAAUUC
rnacentral:rRNA from 1 species